rnacentral:rRNA from 1 species
GACGAACCGUACGAACGUUAUUCGGAAUCACUGGGCUUAAAGGGUGCGUAGGCGGCGCUGAAAGUUGGGUGUGAAAUCCCUCGGCUCAACCGAGGAACUGCAUUCAAAACUACAGUGCUUGAGGGAGACAGAGGUGAGCGGAACUUAGGGUGGAGCGGUGAAAUGCGUAGAUAUUGGGAGGAACACCAGUGGCGAAGGCGGCUCACUGGACCGGUACUGACGCUGAUGCGCGAAAGCGUGGGGAGCAAACGGG